rnacentral:rRNA from 1 species
UACGUAGGGGGCAAGCGUUGUCCGGAUUUAUUGGGCGUAAAGAGCGUGUAGGCGGCCAUACAGGUCCGUUGUGAAAACUCGAGGCUCAACCUCGAGACGUCGAUGGAAACCAUCUGGCUAGAGUCCGGAAGAGGAGAGUGGAAUUCCUGGUGUAGCGGUGAAAUGCGCAGAUAUCAGGAAGAACACCCGUGGCGAAGGCGGCUCUCUGGUACGUGACUGACGCUGAGGCGCGAAAGCUAGGGGAGCAAACGGG